rnacentral:lncRNA from 1 species
AUACAAGAAGCCAAGGACAGUGAACUAUUCAUCCUGGCAGUGGUGGCAGCAGCAGCAUCCUGGGGCCUGGCUACAUGGUGGUGAUGGCCACAGUGUCCCCCAGAUGUUCCAGCAGCAUGGUUUUCAUCGUGGUCUUGGCUAUCCAGCUGCUACCUUUGGUGCCUGCGUGAUUUCUGGGUCCAGUCUUCAAGAUAUUCUGUGAGCUAAUCAAUACCCUUCCAUUAGGUUUUUUGUUUUUUUGUGUUUUUUUUUGCCAUAAUCAGAGCCUGUUUCUUCUGCUUGCAACUGCGAAUGGACUAAUACAGAGUCUUUGAAGGGUAUGGGCAGGGAGAAAUGAUGGGACCUGGCUUGUACUUUGAAGAAGUCCUAUAGGCUGCUAUGUGGCCACGAUAGUAGAGCACAGCUACAGCAAAUGGCCAAAAAGAGUCAGAUCCUCUGCAGCAGGGGUCUCCAGCUCCCGCAGUACUGAUCCAUGGCCUGUUAGAAACUGGGCCACACAGCAGGAUGUGAGCUGCAACAUGAAGUCUUCAUCAGUCAGACACCAGCGUCAUGCUCUUGGCCUUGCCAGCUUCCAGAACCGUGAGCCAAAUACAUUAUUUUCUUUAUAACUUACCCAGUCUGUGGUAUUCAGUUAUAGCAGCAGAAAUGGACUAAGAUGGAACACAAGAGAGGGAAGGAAGUGCAGAGAGAGGGGGAGAAGAGGGAAUAAAACUUCCCCAGAGCUGCGGAGAGCCUACCCCAUCUCUUCAUCCCUGGGAAUCAGGGAGGGGCUGCAGACACAGCCCCUAAGCCUGCUCUGCAUGAUGAGAAGCAUAAAGACCUGACCCUACAGCGUAGUACCCUAAGCAUGUUCCUCCUGCCUGCGAUGAAAGGGGCUAUCUCCCCACCCACAUACAACCCAUCUGCCUCAGGUGUCCACACCAUGGAGGCAGAAUGUCAUGGGCUUGCUGUCAGACCAUGUCAGAUCAUGCUGGGAGAUAAAUUCCCACCAUUAACUCAGAACAUGGUGGUGCUGGUUGUGGGGUCCUAUGGCCAGAGCCUAUGCCCUCGCUGUCCAUGAUAGCUGCAUGGGGGGUGUAGGCUGGCACCAGCUACAGAUGCCCUGAGAGCUGCUGUCCAAAGAGCUGUUCUGAAGAAGCUUUGCUGAGGGGCACAGGGCCGUGGGGGGAGAGAGAGGCAGCCGUGGGGGCGCCCCAGAUGUUGCCCCAUGCCCUUCCAGGGCCUGCCUGGAACUGAAGACACGAGCCCUUGUGAGAGUCAGAGGCACUCGGUCGGGCGCG